CCGAGUUUGAGUGAUUAGAUGAUUAGGGUGACGAGAGUUACAAAUUUAAAACUUCUCAUGCGACAUCAACCCUAGCUCGCAUCAUUGAACAAUUUAUAUGAGUAAGUAGUUGGGACAUGUUUUAAUUUUGUGUGUUUUUUUUUUUAAUUUUUUAGUUCAACUUUCAAUAUCUUUUAUACUUUCUUUUAUAUGAUUCUUUUCUUGAUGAUCCUAGCUAGUAAUCUUUUCUAUUCAUUGUUUUUACUUUCCUUCAUUGUAAUCUCAAUCUAGCUAUCAUUUUAC
rnacentral:lncRNA from 1 species